UAAGAUGUCAUUUCAGCAUUUUGUUGGUUUAUCAGAGCAGAUAAGACAUCUGUUUAAUAAUCUGUAAUUAGUGUAACUUGCCUUACCAGUCUGGGAUUCAAAUAAGAUUCUCAUUAUUUCUUAUUUUCCAGAUUAAUCUCCUGAAUCCCCACAUGCCCAAAUCAAUUUGUUACCAGGCUGCUGUAACGAAGUACCACAAAUCGGUGGCUGAAAACAACAGAAAUUUAAUGUCUUGCAGUUCAGGGGG
rnacentral:lncRNA from 1 species